rnacentral:lncRNA from 7 species
AAUAGGGUGGGAAUGUGGAAUCCUUUGAAUAAGAUUGAAUUUUUUUUUCUAAAAACUGAAGAUAAAACGUAAUGAAAGCUGAUUAAAAAGAAAGAUAGUGUCUAGGAUGGGAAUUUGAUGUCGCUCCAACAAUGGCAGGCUCCCACUGUUGCAGCUAGCAUGCACAGCCCACAGAUGUAAGAGGCUCUAAUUUAAAACUUGUUUCAGACAUGAGCAAAGGUGCAGGUCAUUGAAAGUGCAGCGAUAGCGAUGCAUCUUACUGCAUCAAUAGCAGUAAUAUGUUGCCUUAGCUGUACACCGUACUGUAUUCCUUUUUACCUGUGCAAUUUAAAAAAGCGGUGGAAGUGAACUAUUCAGUUGUGGAUUUGCUGCUGGUGAGCUCACAGCUGCUGGUAAAUAAUGUCUGUAAUCGUGCUUCACUGCAGGUAAGGCUACUAUUUCUCUGAGCCAUCCUCUGCUCCGUAGUGCUCCAGGAAUGAGGCACUUGGUAAUUAGAAGUAAUGUAUCUUCCGCUGUGAUGAUUAAAAUGACAAUGAUUAUUGCAUGAAUUUGUUAAUUAUAAUGCAAUGACUAAUUAAAUGGAGAAAUGGAGAAAAG